UGGGGAAUAUUGGACAAUGGGCGGAAGCCUGAUCCAGCAACGCCGCGUGAGGGAUGACUGCCUUCGGGUUGUAAACCUCUUUCAUCAUUGACGAAGCUUCAACGUUGUUGGGGUGACGGUAGGUGGAGAAGAAGCACCGGCCAACUACGUGCCAGCAGCCGCGGUAAUACGUAGGGUGCGAGCGUUGUCCGGAAUUAUUGGGCGUAAAGGGCUCGUAGGCGGUUUGUCGCGUCGGGAGUGAAAACACUGGGCUUAACCGAGUGCUUGCUUUCGAUACGGGCAGACUAGAGGUAUGCAGGGGAGAACGGAAUUCCUGGUGUAGCGGUGAAAUGCGCAGAUAUCAGGAGGAACACCGGUGGCGAAGGCGGUUCUCUGGGCAUUACCUGACGCUGAGGAGCGAAAGUGUGGGGAGCGAACA
rnacentral:rRNA from 1 species